GACGAACGCUGGCGGCGUGCUUAACACAUGCAAGUCGAACGAUGAAGAAGAGAAACGCGAACUUCGGUUCAAAUUUCACUUCGGAUUAGUGGCAGACGGGUGAGUAACGCGUGAGCAACCUACCUCUUACAAAGGGAUAGCCUCGGGAAACCGUGAUUAAUACCAUAUGACACAUUCAUAAGGCAUCUUAAGAAUGUUAAAGCUACGGCGGUAAGAGAUGGGCUCGCGUCCCAUUAGCUAGUUGGUGAGGUAACGGCCCACCAAGGCGACGAUGGGUAACCGGGCUGAGAGGGUGAACGGUAACAUUGGAACUGAGACACGGUCCAAACUCCUACGGGAGGCAGCAGUGGGGAAUAUUGCACAAUGGAGGGAACUCUGAUGCAGCGACGCCGCGUGAGCGAUGAAGGAAUUCGUUUCGUAAAGCUCUGUUCUAUGGGAAGAAAAGGACUGUACCAUAGGAGAAAGCCCCGGCUAAAUACGUG
rnacentral:rRNA from 1 species